GACGAACGCUGGCGGCGUGCUUAACACAUGCAAGUCGAGCGAGCGGCGGACGGGUGAGUAAUGUCUGGGAAACUGCCUGAUGGAGGGGGAUAACUACUGGAAACGGUAGCUAAUACCGCAUACCAUCAGAUGUGCCCAGAUGGGAUUAGCUAGUAGGUGGGGUAACGGCUCACCUAGGCGACGAUCCCUAGCUGGUCUGAGAGGAUGACCAGCCACACUGGACCUGAUACACGGUCCAGACUCCGACGUGAGGCAGCAGUGUGGAAUAUUGCACAAUGGGCGCAAGCCUGAUGCAGCCACGCCGCGUGUGUGAAGAAGGCCUUCGGGUUGUAAAGCACUUUCAGCUGUGAGGCGUUACCCGCAGAAGAAGCACCGGCUAACUACGUGCCAGCAGCCGCGGUAAUAC
rnacentral:rRNA from 1 species